GAUGAACGCUGGCGGCGUGCCUAAUACAUGCAAGUCGAGCGAACAGACGAGGAGCUUGCUCCUCUGACGUUAGCGGCGGACGGGUGAGUAACACGUGGAUAACCUACCUAUAAGACUGGGAUAACUUCGGGAAACCGGAGCUAAUACCGGAUAAUAUAUUGAACCGCAUGGUUCAAUAGUGAAAGACGGUUUUGCUGUCACUUAUAGAUGGAUCCGCGCCGCAUUAGCUAGUUGGUAAGGUAACGGCUUACCAAGGCAACGAUGCGUAGCCGACCUGAGAGGCGGAUCGGCCACACUGGAACGGAGACACGGUCAAGACUCCUACGGGAGGCAGCAGUAGGGAACCUGCCGCAAUGGUCGAAAGCCUGACGGAGCAACGCCGCGUGAGUGACGAAGGUCUUCGGAUCGUAAAACUCUGUUAUGAGGGAAGAACAAAUGUGUAAGUAACUAUGCACGGCUUGACGGUAACUAAUCAGAAAGCCACGGCUAACUACGUG
rnacentral:rRNA from 1 species